rnacentral:tRNA from 1 species
GGUUAUAGCUCAGUGGUAGAGUGCUUGCCUAGCAUGUGUGAAGCACUGGGUUCAAUCCUCAGCACCA